ACAAACGUUUGAGUGUCCGUCUUAUAUGAAAUUUUUUUAUAAUUAGUAUUUUCAUUGUUAUUAGAUGAUAAAAUAUGAUUAAUACUUUAUGCGUGACUUAUUUUUUUAAUUUUUUUAUAAUUUUUUUUAAAUAAGACAGGAAAUCAGGUUUGUC
rnacentral:pre_miRNA from 1 species